rnacentral:rRNA from 1 species
CUUAAAUUGAAGAGUUUGAUCAUGGCUCAGAUUGAACGCUGGCGGCAGGCCUAACACAUGCAAGUCGAGCACAAACAAGUUAUCUGAACCUUCGGGGAACGAUAACGG